UACGGGGGGGGCAAGCGUUGUUCGGAAUUACUGGGCGUAAAGGGCUCGUAGGCGGCCAACUAAGUCAGACGUGAAAUCCCUCGGCUUAACCGGGGAACUGCAUCUGAUACUGGAUGGCUUGAGUUUGGGAGAGGGAUGCGGAAUUCCAGGUGUAGCGGUGAAAUGCGUAGAUAUCUGGAGGAACACCCGUGGCGAAAGCGGCGAGCUGGAUCACUACUGACGCUGAAGAACGAAAGCUAGGGGAGCAAACAGG
rnacentral:rRNA from 1 species